rnacentral:rRNA from 1 species
AGUGAACGCUGGCGGUAGGCCUAACACAUGCAAGUCGAACGGCAGCACAGUAAGAGCUUGCUCUUACGGGUGGCGAGUGGCGGACGGGUGAGGAAUACAUCGGAAUCUACUUUUUCGUGGGGGAUCACGUAGGGAAACUUACGCUAAUACCGCAUACGACCUACGGGUGAAAGCAGGGGAUCUUCGGACCUUGCGCGUUUGAAUGAGCCGAUGUCGGAUUAGCUAGUUGGCGGGGUAAAGGCCCACCAAGGCGACGAUCCGUAGCUGGUCUGAGAGGAUGAUCAGCCACACUGGAACUGAGACACGGUCCAGACUCCUACGGGAGGCAGCAGUGGGGAAUAUUGGACAAUGGGCGCAAGCCUGAUCCAGCCAUACCGCGUGGGUGAAGAAGGCCUUCGGGUUGUAAAGCCCUUUUGUUGGGAAAGAAAAGCAGCAGGUUAAUACCCCGCUGUUCUGACGGUACCCAAAGAAUAAGCACCGGCUAACUUCGUG